GCUCCCUGGUUGAUCCUGCCAGUAGUCAUAUGCUUGUCUCAAAGAUUAAGCCAUGCACGUCUCAGUACGAGCUUGUAUAAAAAGUGAAACCGCGAAUGGCUCAUUAAAUCAGUUUUGGUUCAUUGGACGACAAACGGUUACUUGGAUAACUGUGGCAAUUCUAGAGCUAAUACAUGCAAUCAAGUCCCGACCGGAGACGGAAAGGACGCACUUAUUAGAUCAAAACCGACCGGGGUCGUCCGGGGGCCUCGGCCUCCGGCGCCUCGCUUGCGUUCUUGGUGACUCUGAAUAACUGUCGGAUCGCACGGCCUCUGCGCCGGCGACGCGUCCUUCAAAUGUCUGACUUAUCAACUGUCGAUGGUAGGUUCUGCGCCUACCAUGGUCGUAACGGGUGACGGGGAAUCAGGGUUCGAUUCCGGAGAGGGAGCCUGAGAAACGGCUACCACAUCCAAGGAAGGCAGCAGGCGCGCAAAUUACCCACUCCCGGCACGGGGAGGUAGUGACGAAAAAUAACGAUACGGGACUCAUCCGAGGCCCCGUAAUCGGAAUGAGGACACUUUAAAUCCUUUAUCGAGUAUCCAUUGGAGGGCAAGUCUGGUGCCAGCAGCUGCGGUAAUUCCAGCUCCAAUAGCGUAUAUUAAAGUUGUUGCGGUUAAAAAGCUCGUAGUCGGACUUGUGUCCCGCUGUGUCGGUACACCGCACGUCGGUGUCCAACUGGCAUGCAAGCGAGGACGUCCUGACGGUGGUCGCGAGGGCAUCCUCUCGCGUGGGUCGGUGUCGGGGUGCCGCGGGUGCCUCUCCUCUUCCCGUCCGCCCUUCGUCCGGGUCGCUGAGCUCGCGCUCGCCCCGCGCGCGUCGGGCGUUUCGGGUGACCGGGAGAGCCCCCCUCCCCGUUCCGGCCGCGCGACCGAGACGCUCCCGGCCUGGUCUCACAUCCUCUCGAGGUGCUCUUGACCGAGUGUCUAGAGGGGCCGUCACGUUUACUUUGAACAAAUUAGAGUGCUCAAAGCAGGCAGAGAACGCGCCUGGAUACCAGUGCAUGGAAUAAUGGAAUAGGACCUCGGUUCUAUUUUGUUGGUUUUCGGAAUCCCCGAGGUAAUGAUCAAUAGGGACAGACGGGGGCAUUCGUACUGCGACGUUAGAGGUGAAAUUCUUGGAUCGUCGCAAGACGCGCAGAAGCGAAAGCAUUUGCCAAGCAUGUUCUCUCUGAUCAAGAACGAAAGUCAGAGGUUCGAAGGCGAUCAGAUACCGCCCUAGUUCUGACCAUAAACGAUGCCAGCCAGCAAUCCGCCGAAGUUCCUCCGAUGACUCGGCGGGCGGCUUCCGGGAAACCAAAGCUUACGGGUUCCGGGGGAAGUAUGGUUGCAAAGCUGAAACUUAAAGGAAUUGACGGAAGGGCACCACCAGGAGUGGAGCCUGCGGCUUAAUUUGACUCAACACGGGAAAACUCACCAAGCCCUGACACCGGAAUGAUUGACAGAUUGAGAGCUCUUUCUUGAUUCGGUGGGUGGUGGUGCAUGGCCGUUCUUAGUUCGUGGGACGACUUGUCUGGUUAAUUCCGUUAACGAACGAGACUCCAACCUGCUAAAUAGUCGGGUGACCGGCAUCCUUCGCGCUGCCGGCGAUAAUGAAAUCUUCUUAGAGGGACAAGCGGCGUCUAGCCGCCCUACAAAGAGCAAUAACAGGUCUGUGAUGCCCUUAGAUGUCUUGGGCUGCACGCGCGCUACACUGAAGGAAUCAGCGUGUCUUCCCUGGCCGAAAGGUCCGGGCAACCCGCUGAACCUCCUUCGUGAUAGGGAUUGGGGCUUGCAACUGUUCCCCAUGAACGAGGAAUUCCUAGUAGGCGCGAGUCAUAAGCUCGCGUCGAUUAAGUCCCUGCCCUUUGUACACACCGCCCGUCGCUACUACCGAUUGAACGGUUUAGUGAGGCCUUCGGACCGGCGAACGCAGGCGCGGCCCUCCGCGGCCCGUCGCGACUCUGUCGGAAAGAUGGCCGAACUUGCCCGUUUAGAGGAAGUAAAAGUCGUAACAAGGUUGCCGUAGGUGAACCUGCGGCAGGACCAUUA
rnacentral:rRNA from 1 species